UACGGAGGGAGCUAGCGUUGUUCGGAAUUACUGGGCGUAAAGCGCGCGUAGGCGGCUUUGUAAGUUAGAGGUGAAAGCCCGGGGCUCAACCCCGGAACUGCCUUUAAAACUGCAUCGCUUGAAUCCAGGAGAGGUGAGUGGAAUUCCGAGUGUAGAGGUGAAAUUCGUAGAUAUUCGGAGGAACACCAGUGGCGAAGGCGGCUCACUGGUCCGGUACUGACGCUGAGGUGCGAAAGCGUGGGGAGCAAACAGG
rnacentral:rRNA from 1 species